rnacentral:rRNA from 1 species
GCUUGUCUCAAAGAUUAAGCCAUGCAUGUUCAAACAUAAGUAUUAUAAAGCGAAGUUGCGAAUGGCUCAUUAUAUCAGUUAUAAUAUACUAGAUAGUUUCUCUACUUGGAUAACCGUAGUAAUUCUAGAGCUAAUACAUGCGCCCAGACCCAACUUUUAGGAAGGGUUGUAUUUAUUAGGUACAGAACCAAUGCAAGCUCCGCUUGACCUUUUGGUGAUUCAUGGUAACCGAACGAAUCGCACGGCACCAGCUGGCGAUGGACCAUUUCAGUUUCUGACCUAUCAGCUUCCGACGGUAGGAUAUGGGCCUACCGUGGCAAUGACGGGUAACGGAGAAUUAGGGUUCGAUUCCGGAGAGGGAGCCUGAGAAACGGCUACCACAUCCAAGGAAGGCAGCAGG